UAUUAGGCUGGUGUAAAAGUAAUUGCUUUUUUCCCCGUUACUUUCAAUGGCAAAAAUCUCAAUUACUUUUGCACCAACCUAAUA
ensembl:miRNA